GACGAACGCUGGCGGCGUGCCUAAUACAUGCAAGUAGAACGCUGAAGCGAGGAGCUUGCUCUUCUUGGAUGAGUUGCGAACGGGUGAGUAACGCGUAGGUAACCUGCCUUGUAGCGGGGGAUAACUAUUGGAAACGAUAGCUAAUACCGCAUAACAAUGGAUGACCCAUGUCAUUUAUUUGAAAGGGGCAAAUGCUCCACUACAAGAUGGACCUGCGUUGUAUUAGCUAGUAGGUGAGGUAACGGCUCACCUAGGCGACGAUACAUAGCCGACCUGAGAGGGUGAUCGGCCACACUGGGACUGAGACACGGCCCAGACUCCUACGGGAGGCAGCAGUAGGGAAGCUUCGGCAAUGGGGGCAACCCUGACCGAGCAACGCCGCGUGAGUGAAGAAGGUUGUCGGAUCGUAAAGCUCUGUUGUAAGUCAAGAACGAGGGUGAGAGUGGAAAGUUCACACUGUGACGGUAGCUGACCAGAAAGGGACGGCUAACUACGUG
rnacentral:rRNA from 1 species